UACGUAGGGUGCGAGCGUUGUCCGGAAUUAUUGGGUGUAAAGGGGACUGAUGUGCCAGCAGCCGCGGUAAUACCGGCAGCUCGAGUGAUGACCGAUUUUAUUGGGCCUAAAGCGUCCGUAGCUGGCCGCGCAAGUCCGUCGGGAAAUCCACCCGCUUAACGGGUGGGCGUCCGGCGGAAACUGUGCGGCUUGGGACAGGAAGGCUCGAGGGGUACGUUCGGGGUAGGAGUGAAAUCCCGUAAUCCUGAACGGACCGCCGAUGGCGAAAGCACCUCGAGAGGACUGAUCCGACAGUGAGGGACGAAAGCUGGGGUCUCGAACCGG
rnacentral:rRNA from 1 species